ACUUCGUUUUAUUUAGAGAAUUAUUCGAAGUUAAUAUAUUUGUAGUGAAACUGGUUUUAGUUUAAUGCGCUAGGUGCUCCCUGACUCGUUUAUGCCGUCUUUAACAAUUAAUACGAGUUUUCAAUAUUUACUGCGCCAGCGAAAACGCAUGCUUCCUAGUUGCUUUUGUUGUUGUUAUAUUAUACGGAAUGCGAAUUCUUACUCGGGUGUGGGUAGCCAUACUGGAUUGUUGUUUUUGGCGGUGCUGUUGUUGCUGGCGUUUGGCCUGAACUCGCUUGGGUGAGUGUCCUUGCAGCGGCGCCAAUAUAGCAAUCACAAAAACAACAACUGCUAUAAGCACAACAACAACAAAAGCUAUAAAGAUGGCAAUAACAACAAAAUCAGCGUUGAUUUUCGAAAAAGCAGUCGCUGCGGCAGCGCUGGUGUGAGUCAAGGAGCAAGUGUAACUCGAAAAUAUCUUCGAAUACGCGACUUUCGUCCCGAGUGCUUGCUCCGGCGUCUCUUUGUCAGUCAUCCUGCUGCCUUCUGCCUAACGUUGCUGGUGUAGCCAUCCACAGUGCGGCAUAUUUGCCAUUCAGUUUGUCUUUGUCGUUCGUUGCGGUCGUUACGUUACGUUAAAAACGUUGAAAGGAAUCGCCUAAUAAAAUAAGCCAAACACAGUAGAGCUAAAAAGUAUACCGACAUAUAUAUAAAAAGUAUAUAGAAAUCGCAGUUAAACGCCGAACGGUGCUUUUGGUUUUAGAAAUUGUAGAAUUUUCUAAAUAAAGCUUUUAAAAGUACCGUUAGCCCGUUAAUUGUGCACUGGCUGAAAUACCGACGAAGACAAAGUGCCGCGUAGCGCAAGGAAAUACAAAAAUGUACUUUCACUUGAGGAAUUCUUGCAAAAGUGUAAAUAAUUAAAAAAUUUAGAAAAUUCUAGCAAAAAUAACUUGGCAGUUUCACAAACAUAUCUCUAAA